ensembl:lncRNA
CCUCACCUGUUCCCCAUUGUGAUUUGUGUUCUCACCUGUUCCCCAUUGUGUGCUCUCACCUGUCUUGCGUUUUUGUGAUUGUCACUUCCCUCUAUUAGCCAGGGUAUAAAUACCUGGCUAAUCUCUGUGGCCCUGAUCGGGUCGUUAGAAGUCUUUCCUCAAGGACACGCAGCCAUCGCACGCACUCAGGUGCCGCUAGUCUUAGCUAGUUCCGGUUGGUGUCUUGUUGCGGUUCUCACACCGCUUCUGUCUCUCGUUGCGGUCCCUAACCGCUUUCGGCUUCUUAAAGCCUUCAUCAGGUAGCUAUUGUGAAAGCUACAUUUUGUAUCUUGUUUAGUUUAUGGCCUUUUGCCCUGUUCAUAUCCUCUGUGCUUUUGGAUUAUCUCCUGAGUUUGGAUUAUCUUCUGUGUGUUUGUUUCUCGCUGUUGAAGCAUCCUUGUUUCUCAAUAAAAGAACCAUUGAGAACAUCAUCCUGCCAUUGGGUCCUCUCAUUAGCACACUGGGCUAAGCGCUGGUUCCCCACAUCCAGCAUCUCGGGUGCAAUCCCCGAGAAAAGCCUGACAAAUAGAAGCUGAAAUGGAAAGAAGAGGUUCUUCCAAACUUAACAAAUUAACAUUAACAAAUAAAAAAAAAAUUGAGCAUUACAAUUUGAAUAUUACUAAUUUAUGAUGUGAAUCAGAUGCAGGUAAUUAUCCAACAACAGACCUGCAUACUCCACCGAGAGGUCUUCAUUUGAGGUUGGAGUAGAAGCUGAAAUGGAAAGAAGAGGUUCUUCCUAACUUGGUUUUGAUCUUUCGCUGUAUCUGUGUAUUUUGUUAUGUUUAUGAUCUGUUCCUCUCUUUUCUUUGAAGCUUGGCCUACCAUUUUAUGGGAGCGAUGAGGGACAGGUGGAGCUUGAAAAGCCCCCCUUAAUCAAAGUGGGGAAUGACAGAAAAAGUUUGAGAACCACUGCGGUAGUUGAAGAUAGAGAGAGCUGAGGGAUUGUUGGGCGGAAAGUCUCUGUUUAAGAGCCAAAAUGACGGAACAAUCAACAAAAGUUGUAUAGCAUUUGUCAAGCUGAAUUAAGCUAUCACAGAAGCAGCUCGCCUUUAAGUUAUCACCUUAAUGCAAAGCACCCGACAGAAAGCAGUCCCAGGUUAGAUGAUCGAUUUACCGUCGAGGGGCACCAUUGUGUUUUAAAAAAAAAUACAAUUAAACAACAAUUAAACAACAGUGUUAAACAACAUUAAUUAAUUUCAAAAUGUGCGAUUAAUUAAUUUUUUUUAAUCGAUUGACAGCCCUAAUAUAUAUAAGAGAGAGAGAGUGAGCAUACAUGCAAGUAUAUUUUAUUGUAAAUGCAUCUUAUUGUGUACAUUUACUUUUGAAGCUACAAAGACUAAACUGGUACUACAGAUGUUCUAUGUGAUAUUUGUGACAGUAGGGCAUGUUGAUAGUAUAAUUUAAGAUAGUGUUUAUAGAUCAUUAAAUCAGUACUUACUUGUUGUAGACAAUAUCAAAACAAUUGUAAAACCUCUACUUGCAAUCAUUUUCUGUAAUUUCUAUAAUUUGAUUGUCUGUUCAGACAGAAGUAAGGAACACGGAAUGUUCUUGAGAAUAAGGAACACUUUGAGACAGAGGUUUGGCACAGGAAAUUGUGAGAGGAUGCAGACUUUUUCUGUCUGUUUACUGUUGCUGCUUUGGGCAGAAUCAGACUGCCAGCAUUGGUCUAAAGCUUCAGGAUAUGCUUGGGCAACCCCAACUCCAGGAUAUGACUGGGUCACCCCAAAUCCACAGCAGCACUGGAUGAGACCCACUCCACGGCAACAAUGGAUGAGAGGCAGAACCUCACGUAUGUAACUCGCAUCACAUCACCUGCUUCUCACAUUUAUACCCAAUCAAAUAUUUAAAAUAUUCAGCCUAGAGUUAUUCAAAAUGUAAUUAUUUCUCUAUUUAGGUCCAUGGAGGCACUGGAUGCAACCCAGUAGGUUUAUGUCCAUCAGCAUACUCUUUAUAUAGCCAAUAUGGACAAA